GACGAACGCUGGCGGCGUGCUUAACACAUGCAAGUCGAACGAGAAGAGAUGAGAAGCUUGCUUCUUAUUGAUUCGAGUGGCAAACGGGUGAGUAACGCGUAAGCAACCUGCCCUUCAGAUGGGGGACAACAGCUGGAAACGGCUGCUAAUACCGAAUACGUUCUUUUUGUCGCAUGGCAGAGGGGAAGAAAGGGAGGCUCUUCGGAGCUUUCGCUGAAGGAGGGGCUUGCGUCUGAUUAGCUAGUUGGAGGGGUAACGGGUCCCGACCAAGGCGACGAUCAGUAGCCGGUCUGAGAGGAUGAACGGCCACAUUGGGACUGAGACACGGCCCAGACUCCCUACGGGAGGCAGCAGUGGGGAAUCUUCCGCAAUGGACGAAAGUCUGACGGAGCAACGCCGCGUGAACGAUGACGGCCCUUC
rnacentral:rRNA from 1 species